rnacentral:rRNA from 1 species
UGAGGAAUAUUGGUCAAUGGGCGCGAGCCUGAACCAGCCAAGUAGCGUGCAGGAUGACGGCCCUAUGGGUUGUAAACUGCUUUUGUAUGGGGAUAAAGUCAAUCACGUGUGAUUGUUUGCAGGUACCAUACGAAUAAGGACCGGCUAAUUCCGUGCCAGCAGCCGCGGUAAUACGGAAGGUCCGGGCGUUAUCCGGAUUUAUUGGGUUUAAAGGGAGCGUAGGCCGGAGAUUAAGUGUGUUGUGAAAUGUAGACGCUCAACGUCUGACUUGCAGCGCAUACUGGUUUCCUUGAGUACGCACAACGUUGGCGGAAUUCGUCGUGUAGCGGUGAAAUGCUUAGAUAUGACGAAGAACUCCGAUUGCGAAGGCAGCUGACGGGAGCGCAACUGACGCUUAAGCUCGAAGGUGCGGGUAUCGAACAGGAUUAGAUACCCUGGUAGUCCGCACAGUAAACGAUGGAUGCCCGCUGUUGGUACCUGGUAUCAGCGGCUAAGCGAAAGCAUUAAGCAUCCCACCUGGGGAGUACGCCGGCNCGGU